rnacentral:rRNA from 1 species
GCAUAUCAAUAAGCGGAGGAAAAGAAACCAACAGGGAUUGCCCUAGUAACGGCGAAGUGAAGCGGCAACAGCUCAAAUUUGAAAUCUGGCUCUUUCAGAGUCCGAGUUGUAAUUUGCAGAGGGCGCUUUGGCUUUGGCAGCGGUCCAAGUUCCUUGGAACAGGACGUCACAGAGGGUGAGAAUCCCGUACGUGGUCGCUAGCUAUUGCCGUGUAAAGCCCCUUCGACGAGUCGAGUUGUUUGGGAAUGCAGCUCUAAAUGGGAGGUAAAUUUCUUCUAAAGCUAAAUAUUGGCCAGAGACCGAUAGCGCACAAGUAGAGUGAUCGAAAGAUGAAAAGCACUUUGGAAAGAGAGUCAAACAGCACGUGAAAUUGUUGAAAGGGAAGCGCUUGCAGCCAGACUUGCUUGCAGUUGCUCAUCCGGGCUUUUGCCCGGUGCACUCUUCUGCAGGCAGGCCAGCAUCAGUUUGGGCGGUGGGAUAAAGGUCUCUGACACGUUCCUUCCUUCGGGUUGGCCAUAUAGGGGAGACGUCAUACCACCAGCCUGGACUGAGGUCCGCGCAUCUGCUAGGAUGCUGGCGUAAUGGCUGUAAGCGGCCCGUCUUGAAACACGGACCAAGGAGUCUAACAUCUAUGCGAGUGUUUGGGUGUCAAGCCCGAGCGCGUAAUGAAAGUGAACGGAGGUGGGAACCCGCAAGGGCGCACCAUCGACCGAUCCUGAAGUUUACGGAAGGAUUUGAGUAAGAGCAUGGCUGUUGGGACCCGAAAGAUGGUGAACUAUGCUUGAAUAGGGUGAAGCCAGAGGAAACUCUGGUGGAGGCUCGCAGCGGUUCUGACGUGCAAAUCGAUCGUCAAAUUUGGGCAUAGGGGCGAAAGACUAAUCGAACUAUCUAGUAGCUGGUUCCUGCCGAA